rnacentral:rRNA from 1 species
CGGUAAAAGCUCAAAUUUGAAAUCUGGCUCUUUUAGAGUCCGAAUUGUAAUUUGUAGAGGAUGCUUUUGGUGCGGUGCCUUCCGAGUUCCCUGGAACGGGACGCCUUAGAGGGUGAGAGCCCCGUACGGUUGGACGCCUAGCCUCUGUAAAGCUCCUUCGAC